CAGUAGCCACGGUAAUACGGAGGGUGCAAGCGUUAAUCGGAAUUACUGGGCGUAAAGCGCACGCAGGCGGUCUGACAAGUCAGAUGUGAAAUCCCCGGGCUCAACCUGGGAACUGCAUUUGUGACUGUAUAGCUAGAGUACGGCAGAGGGGGAUGGAAUUCCGCGUGUAGCAGUGAAAUGCGUAGAUAUGCGGAGGAACACCGAUGGCGAAGGCAAUCCCCUGGGCCUGUACUGACGCUCAUGCACGAAAGCGUGGGGAGCAAACAGGAUUAGAUACCCCAGUAGUCCCUGUCUCUUAUAC
rnacentral:rRNA from 1 species